GUYUUUUUGUUAUGAUAAAAAGUYUGGCCUGCCCRCUGAUAAUUUGAAUGGCUGCAGUAUUUUGACUGUACAAAGGUAGCAUAAUCAUUAGUUUUUUAAUUGAAAGCUGGAAUGAAGGGUUGGAUGAGAAGACUACUGUCUCUAUCAAAUAGAUUGAAUUUUAUUUUUGAGUGAGAAAGCUUAAAUUUUUAUUAGGGACGAGAAGACCCUAUAGAGUUUAAUAAAAUAUUAUUUUUAUAUUUUUAGAAUUAAUUAAUUUAAAUUUAUGUUUUUAUUUGGUUGGGGUGAUUAAAUAAUUGAAAUAACUUAUUUUUUUUUUACUUUUUUAAAAGGCUUGUUGAUCCAUGUUUUGUGAUUAAAAGAUUAAAUUACCUUAGGGAUAACAGCGUAAUUUUUUUUGAUAGUUCUUAUUGAUAAAAAAGUUUGCGACCUCGAUGUUGGAUUAAAAUUUAUUUUUGGUGUAGUAGCUAACAAAUUAGGYCUGUUCGACCUUUAAAAUUUUACA
rnacentral:rRNA from 1 species